AUUCGAAAAUCUGUGGCGGCGACAUCGCGAGCACGUAACCCACAUCAACAUCAAAAUGUAAAUCCAGAAUCGGACUCAUCCAUCAGCAGCCGGCCACGCCAAAGGAAGAAUGCACCGACAAGACAACCGAUCAAGAUAGACAGCUUUACACUUCUACGGACAGAAUGCAAACAACGCGUUCCCCAUUCAAGGCGAUGGACAGCGGGCCCGCACAAAAAGAAAGGGCGAACUUAAAAAAGCGACGCAUCGAAAAUACACCUAAGAUAGAGAGAGGGGUAGAAUCCUUUACAACGAAACCCAAACAAGGGGAAAUCUACUGAAAACCUUACAGUAAAGUAAAAUAGGGGUAAGGGGAUAUUUUAAGGAGGGAUUGCUAACUAGGAAGCUGGGGGAGUGGCCUGAUGUAAGAAAUCAAUGAUUUCAGCCGCCCCCUCGAAGAGUUUCCUGUGUUCUCUCGUACAUUUACCUUAAAACUGAUUUUUUUGCACGCGCCCUCAAUAAAAAAACUUUUCCGCCUUUUUUCCACGGAAGAAAAAAAAUCAUUUUCGCCUUCGGCCGCAUAAACAAACAAUCGGAGGAUGCUCCGACCCCCGAGAAGACUUCGCAUAAUUCAUAAUGUAAAUUACUAAAACACCCCAUUAAUUAAAGCCGUGAUUUCUAACACGAACAUUAAGAAUAUAUUUCAUGCCUUUGUAGGUAUACUUACGGCAAGUCAAAAGUUAUAACUCCUAAGUUUAUGUAAUUGCCCUGGAACGAAGGAACUUGAAAGUCAUAAAUUUUGGUUUAUAAUUAUACGAUGUUAUAUACGACUUUCUUACCCGUUCGCGUCGCGACUUUUUCGAGCGCCCCUCCGCCGAGCGCGUGUUCAGUUUUUGGGGUUGGAAAUUGUAAGUCAACUGCCUGCUUAGAUUUUUCAGCUCCAAACGACGACACCGGUCGCGUCGUACAGUGCAGGAGAACUUGCCGAUGAUCCCUCGUAUACUCACCCAUUCCAGUUUAGCUUACAUUUUUUUUAUCACUCCACCUCGUACAAUAACAUCGGAACUUGCCGGUGCACCCUCGUAUACUCUCCCAGUCCGGUCAUCAAACUUCACGACAUUACCUCGUACAGAACUUGCCGGUUCACCCUCGUAUGCUGUUUCGGACUACUCUCUCCGCGCGAACUUUAAAGCUCUGGGACGUUCAUGUCACCAACACAACAAAAAAUACUUUUUACGUUCUUUUUUCGUCAUUUUUCAUUUGCUUAAAAUUCGAAUUGGUUGUCACAUUUACGUCAUUUUUUUUGUUCACAAUACCAAAUAUAGAAAAGUCAGUUUAGGUAUAUAAUAAUAGACAAUAAAAGGGACAAAGAUUCCAAAUUGGUACUUUUCACGUUAUUUUUUCGUCAUUUUUCAUUUGAGCUAUGUUUAUAAAUGGGAUUAGAAGAUAGAAAAAUUGGUCCUUUUUACGUCAAACUUUCGUCGAAAACCUGAAAUAAGCAUCAGAAAGCGUUGAAACAGAAUUACAGACAAUGGUUCUUGUUACGUCAUUUUUUCGUCAUUUUUCAUUUGAUCUAUGUUUAUAAAUGGGAUUAGAAGAUAGAAAAAUUGGUCCUUUUUACGUCAAACUUUCGUCGAAAACCUGAAAUAAGCAUCAGAAAGCGUUGAAACAGAAUUACAGACAAUGGUUCUUGUUACGUCAUUUUUUCGUCAUUUUUCAUUUGAUCUAUGUUUAUAAAUGGGAUUAGAAGAUAGAAAAAUUGGUCCUUUUUACGUCAAACUUUCGUCGAAAACCUGAAAUAAGCAUCAGAAAGCGUUGAAACAGAAUUAAAGACAAUGGUUCUUGUUACGUCAUUUUUUCGUCACAAACUAGUUAUGUUUCACUAAAGUAAAGCACAAAAAAUUUAUUCGUUGGUGAUUUCGGGAUUCAAAAAUAUCAGAAUCACGCCAAGCUUGAGAUUCGGAUAUGUUCCAUAAACAGGUCAUAUUUACGUCAAUUUUGUGAUCGUGCCCAAGUGCAGAAAAAGCAGUUUAGAUUAACAAUAGAAGACAGUAAAAGAUAAAAAGGACAAAGAUUCCGAAUUGGUACUUUUACGUUAUUUUUUCGUGAUUUUUCAUUUGGAGAUGCUCAUAAAAGGAUAAACCAAGCGCAAGUACUAACAAAUUGGUCCUUUUUACGUCAAAUGUUCGUCGAAAACUUGAAAGAAGCAUCAGAAAGUGUUGAAACAGAAUUAAAGACAAUGGUUCUUGUUACGUCAUUUUUUCGUCACAAACUGGUUUUGUUUCAUUAACCUAAAGCACAAAAAAAUGAUUCGUUGGUGAUUUCUGGAUUCAAAAAUAGUUGCGACUAUAUUUAAUUGAAUCAGUAUCGGUGAAUCCCUUCGUUAAGCUUGAGAUUCGAUAUGUUCCAUAAACAGGUCAUAUUUACGUCAUUUUUUGAAACACGCCCAAAUGUAGAAAAAACAAUUUAGGCGAAUAAUAUGACAAUAAAGGAUAACAAUGACAAAGACUCCGAAUUGGUACUUUUUACGUUAUUUCUGCGUCAUUUUCAUUUGAGCUAAAUUGAUAAGAACGUACAAAAAUUGGUUCUUUUUACGUCAAACUUUCGUCGAAAACAUGAAAAAAGCACCAGAAAGCGUUGAAAGAGAAUUAAAGACCGUGGCUCUUGUUACGUCAUAUUUUCGUCACCAACUAGCUUUGUUUCAUUACCCUAAAGCAAAAAAAUUGAUGAUUUUUAGAUUCAAAAAUAGUUCCAACUAAAUUAAUUUUAAUCAGGAUCGAUGAAUCCCUACGCUCAGCUUGAGAUUCGGAUAUGUUCCAUAAACAGGUCAUAUUUACGUCAUUUUUUGUGAUCACGCCCAAAUGUAACAGUUUAGGUAAAUAAUAAUAGACAAUAAAGAAUGUAGGAACAAAAAUUCCGAAUUGGUACUUUUUACGAUAUUUUUUAUUUGAAAAUAGAUAAGAACGUACAAACCUUGUGUAGAAACCUGAGCUAGUUCUCGACGGCACCGCCAGGUGUGCAAACACAAAUUGGUCAUUUUUCCGUCACCAUUUCGUCGAGAGUCUGAAAGAAGCGCCAAAAAACGUAGGCAACCGAUUUAAACGCAAUACGUCAUUUUUUUGAUCAUAAAUUAGUUUUGAUUCACUAGCAACAAGUAACAACAAAAAUUGAUUCGUUAGAGGUGAUUUUUCGGAUUCAAAAAUAGUUGCAACUACAAUUUAAUUUAGUCCCUGUGAAAGGACUAGUAUAUCCCUACGCUAAGGCCGAGAUUCGAAUAUGUUCCGUGAACAGGUCACGUUUACGUCAUUUUUUUUGUGAUCAAAAUAGCAGUUUCCGAAUUGGUACUUUUAACGUUAUUUUUUCGUCAUGUUUUAUUUGGAGGUAUUUUUAUAAUUGGAUAAGAAAGUGCAGGUGCUUGUACCAGUUCGUUAAAAGUCGACGGUCCCACCAGGUCUGCAUACAUUGAUCCUCUACGUCAAAUUUUCGUCGAAAGCCUGCGUCAGAAAGAUGAUGACCUUUGUUACGUCAUUUUUUCGAGCCAACAAUAAUUUUGAAAGCGUACCUCGCCGUUAGGAAUAAUUUAAAAAAGUAAUCAACUAAUUCAAUUUAAUCCAUGCGAAAGGAGCUGUGAAUCCCUACGGGACAGGUCAUAUUCACGUCAUUUUUGGUGAUCAGGCCCAAAUAUAGAACUAGACAAUGAUAAAUAGAAAGAAAAAAUUUUGGGAUUGGUUGUUUCUACGUCAUUUUUUCGUCUUAUCUGUUCCAUAAUCGCUACCAAAAAGUGACGUUUACGUAAUUUCUUCGGUUUUAAUUUAAACAGAAAAAAACAUCAGUUAAGUAAUUCAAAACGUGAAAAAAGCAAAGAUUUUUACGGCAAAAAUUUAGUCCAUUUUACGUCAGAAGGGCCAUUUGUAAGAUAAAACGAUUUUUUACAGAACAAGCUGUUACGUUACAGUUGCAUUUUCAGAAUUUUUUUAAAAUUAUUUUAUUGGAUCGUAGCAUUAGUCUUUUUCUCGUCACCAUCCCAAAUGACUAUUAUUAAUUAUCAAAAUCGGUACAGUAGCCUCGCGAUAAAAUUCCCUACGUCACGUUAUACAUCUCUCCAAGCAAACUUAGAAAAGUAUCAGAACCUGGUCAUUCUUACGUCAUUAUCCUAAAAAGUCUAUUCAAAAAUAAUUUCAUGGAUCCCAGGCUAAUAGAAAAAGUAGUGUUGCCACGUUUAUAAAUAUAAAAAUCAUUUCAAAAACACAAAAAUCUAGCAAGCGGAUUUUUACGUCAUUUUCUCAUCACUAGUCCAAUAGCUUGUGCAUGUGUGAAUCAGAUUAUUCUGUUCAGCACUACAUUAAAAAAAUGUUUACAAAGAAUCUCAUUGAUCCAAUUGAAGUAGUAAAAAAUAGAAGAACCUCAGUGUGGCUAUAAUUUCAAAAUCUGGAAAAUUGAUCAUUUUGUAGCCUAAUAAAUGUUGGGAAUUGCUCGCGGAAAGUGCUCUGAAUUUUGUCAUCAGCCUAAAGAGAGCUUUCAAAAGACAUUUGAUUGGUCCCAAAUUAAUCAAAAAACCAUUCCGGUGUUUAAAAAUAUGAAAACUUCAAUUGAAGUCAGUUUCGUUUCUAAUUAUGAGAAUAAUUUCAGGUCAUUUUUACGUCAUUUUGUUGUUACUAGCACAGAAUUUAUUGCAUGUGGCGUUUCAAAACUGUUCAACUGACCUCACACCGCGCAAAGAAUCCCUUUCACGUCACAUUUUCGUCGCCAACUUACGAAAAGGUCUAAAGCUACCGUUGGGCUAUGGCAUUCGUACCGAGAAAUUUAUAUUCAAUGGCCAUCCAAACAAAAUACUUGAGAGAAUAUCAAGCUGAUCUAGUGAAUUGGUCCUUUUUACGUCAAUUAUUCGUCACAAACCUAAAAAAUUAGAAAUCUAGAUAUCGGAUAGUCAAUUGUUUGUCAGAAACCUAAUUCGUGGAGAGCCGGUAUUUGAAACAAAUUUCAAAACGU